ACGAGCUGCUCCGCAAUCCUUGAGCCAGCCAGGUUAUUGUGAAGUUCAAUGUCUGCCCUUGAGAAAGUGGUCUCAUCUCUCCGGAACGCAGUUCCUUCAGCUCUGCCAUUCUGCAUCUUCACAACAGACCAUGGUCUCUUCAGGACAGAUGGAAUGCAGUUGUGAUCACUGGAGCUUGAGCAGUCAUUUUAAGCCAGGAGGCAGAAGGAAAAAUUAUAGAUGGUAGAACUACAAAAAGAAGGAGCCUGGAUCCCUGAACUUGUCAUAAAGCUGUCUAUCAAUGCUGAAUUUCCCAACUCUGGAUUUCUUUUAUUUUUUAAACUGAUAUAAAAUUCAUGUAACAUAAAAUUAGCUGCUUACCAAAGUAUCCAAUUUAGUGACAUUCAGUAUAGUCACUAGGUUGUGAAACAAUCGCCUCCAUUUAGUUCCAAGAUAUAUUAAUCAUCCCAAAAAGAAACUCCCACUAGCCAUCUCCAUUAACCUUUCCUUAAGUCUUUAGAAACCACUAGUCUGCUU
rnacentral:lncRNA from 1 species